rnacentral:rRNA from 1 species
GACGAACGCUGGCGGCGUGCUUAACACAUGCAAGUCGAACGGAAAGGCCCUUCGUGGUACUCGAGUGGCGAACGGGGGAGUAACACGUGGGUGAUCUGCCCUGCACUUUGGGAUAAGCCUGGGAAACUGGGUCUAAUACCGAAUAGGACCACGCGCUUCAGGGUGUGUGGUGGCAAGCGUUUGCGGUGUGGGAUGGGCUCGCGGCCUAUUAGCUUGUUGGUGGGGUAUUGGCAGACCAAGGCGACGACCCGUAGCCGGGCUGCGCGGGUGGCAGGCCAAGCUGGGACUGAGAUGCGACCCGGACCAGUAUCGGAGGCAGCGGAGGGGUGUAUUACAUAAGGGGCGGGAGCAUGAUGCAGCGACGCAGCGUGGGGGAUGAGGGGCUUGGGGUUGUAUAGCACUUUUAUUUGGCACGAGACGAAAGUGACGGUACCUAGAGAAGAAGCUCCGGCUAACUACGUG